rnacentral:lncRNA from 1 species
ACAGUCCGGGUGGACCCAAAGCUCCGUGGCGGUGCUGAACUUUAGGGCAGCCACUAGCCACGGACUUAAGCGGCAAUUGAGCUCCUCAAAGUGGGUGAGUGCAAAUCAAAUGUGCGCUAAAUGUCAGAUACACUGGAUGUGGAAGAAGAAAUGUCAAAUAGUGUCAAAUAGUUCAUAUAUAUAAUGUUUAUAUUGAUUAUGUGCUGCAAUAAUUGUUGGGAUAUAUUGGAUUAAAUAAGUACAUUUGUUGAA